CGGGGUGAGUAAUGUCUGGGAAACUGCCUGAUGGAGGGGGAUAACUGCUGGAAACGGUAGCUGAUACCGCAUAACGUCGCAAGACCAAAGAGGGGGACCUUCGGGCCUCUUGCCGUCGGAUGUGCCCAGAUGGGAUUAGCUAGUAGGUGGGGUAACGGCUCACCUAGGCGACGAUCCCUAGCUGGUCUGAGAGGAUGACCAGCCACACUGGAACUGAGACACGGUCCAG
rnacentral:rRNA from 1 species